CAGAGUUUGAUCCUGGCUCAGACGAACGCUGGCGGCGUGCCUAAUACAUGCGCCGAGCGGACAGAAGGGAGUUGUUCCCGGAUGUUAGCGGCGGACGGGUGGAGUAACACGGGUAACCUGCCUGUAAGACUGAUAACUCCGGAAACCGGAGCUAAUACCGGAUAGCUCCCUUGAACCGCAUGGUUCAAGGAUGAAAGACGGUUUCGGCUGUCACUUACAGAUGCGACCCGCGGCGCAUUAGCCAGUUGGUGGGGUAAUGGCUCACCAGUGGACGAUGCGUAGCCGACCUGAGAGGGUGUGAUCGGCCACACUGACUGAGACACGGCCCAGACUCUACGGAGGCAGCAGUAGGGAAUCUUCCGCAAUGGACGAAAAAGUCUGACGGAGCAACGCUGCGUGAGUGAAGAAGGUUUUCGGAUUCCGUAAAACUCUGUUGUUAGGGGAAGAAACGCGCCGUUCAACAGGGCGGCACCUUGACGGUACCCAACCAGAAAGCUUCCCGGCUAACCACGCCAGCAGCCGCGGUAAUAAUGUAGGGGCAAGCGUUGUCCGGAAUUAUUAAGCGUACAGCGCGCGCAGGCGGCUCCUUUGCCUGAUAGAAAGCUCACGGCUUAACCGUGGAGGGCCAUUGGAAACUGGAGGACUUGAGUACAGAAGAGGAGAGUGGAAUUCCAAUGUAGCGGUGAAAUGUAGAGAUGUGGAGGAACACCAGUGGCGAAGGCGACUCUCUGGUCGUAACUGACGCUGAGGAGCGAAAGCGUGGGGAGCGAACAGGGAUUAGAUAUUCCUGGUAGUCCACGCCGUAAACGAUGAGUGCUAAGUGUUAGGAUUUCGCCCCCAGUGCUGUAGCUAACGCAUUAAGCACCUGCCUGGGGAGUACGGUCGCAAGACUGAAACUCAAAGGAAUUGAUUUGGGCCUGCACAAGCGGUGGAGCAUGUGGUUUAAUUCGAAGCAACGCGAAGAACUCCACAGGUCUUUACAUCUCUGACAACCCCAGAGAUAGCUUUUUCCCUUCGGGGACAGGAGUGGACAGGUGGUGCAUGGUUGUCGUCAGCUCGUGUCGUGAGAUGUUGGCUAAGUCCCGCAACGAGCGCAACCCUUGGAUCUUAGUUGCCAGCAUUUAGUUGGGCACUCUAAGGUGACUGCCGGUGACAAACCGGAGGAAGGCUGUGGGAUGACGCCAACCAUCAUGCCCUUAUGACCUUGGCUACACACGCUAAAUGGACAGAAUAAAAGGGCUGGUGAGACCGCAAAGGUUUAGCCAAUCCUUACAAUCUGUUCUCAGUUCGGAUCGCAGUCUGCAAACUCGACCGCGUGAAGCUGGAAUCGCUAGUAAUCGCGGAUCAGCAUGCCGUGGGUGAAUAUUGUUCCUGGCCUUACACACCGCCCGUCACACCACGAGAGUUUGCAACACCCGAAGUCGGUGAGGUAACCCUUUAUGGAGCCACAAGCCGCCGAAGGUGGGGGCAGAUGACGGGGUGAAGUCGUAACAAGGUAGCCGUAUCGGAGGGUGCGGCUGGAUCACCAGGUUAAACACCCGCCAGGACGCCGAAGAUAGAUGACAGGCGGGCAUAAUCGCCGUCGAGUAUGGAAGUCG
rnacentral:rRNA from 1 species